rnacentral:pre_miRNA from 1 species
GGAAGAAAACGAGAAGGGACGGACAAACACAAACUUCCAUUGGAAGUUUGUGUUUGUCCGUCCCUUCUCGUUUUCUUCC